rnacentral:rRNA from 1 species
UACAGAGGUCUCAAGCGUUGUUCGGAUUCAUUGGGCGUAAAGGGUGUGUAGGUGGCGCGGUAAGUCGGGUGUGAAAUUUCGAGGCUUAACUUCGAAACUGCAUUCGAUACUGCCGUGCUAGAGGACUGGAGAGGAGACUGGAAUUUACGGUGUAGCGGUGAAAUGCGUAGAUAUCGUAAGGAAGACCAGUGGCGAAGGCGGGUCUCUGGACAGUUCCUGACGCUGAGGCACGAAGGCCAGGGGAGCAAACGGG